GAUGUCACUAAAACAUCGUUCCCCACGGCCAGACCUGGCUGGCCCUGGGUCUCUGUAUUCAGUGGCACACACGGAUAAUGAGGUAUCUCUGGGGGAAGCUCCUGCUUUGAAUAGGUCCAACAGUUAUUUAUCCAUUUAUCCAUUAUUUAUCCUGCAUUUUGAGCAGUGAAGACCAAGCCUUCUGCAAUAUGGCCGCUUCUGUAUUGGUUCAUCCAUUUCCAGGGGAAGUGAAACACAAAAUGCCACUCUUUCUGCAGGAGAUCCCUGGUGUGGCUCAGACAGUGAAGAUGCAGAACAACUAGGUGGAGAUCACACAUCCUCCCCAACUCCUUCAAUUCAAAAGGUACAGGGAGAGGUGAGGAACAGAACACAGGAAGGGCAGGAACAAAUGAGCCAAAGAACUACACAAAGAAGUACGAAUGAGACACCAAGCCAUUAUGAGUUGCUCCCUUGGUUUAUGACAGAAUGUGAUGAUUUAGGCCUUUAUCUUGAUUUCCUUGUUAUUUUGUCCUUCUGUCGGCUAUGACACAUGAACCUGGACAGCAUUUAGGAUGAGCUCUGAGACACAGUUCAGGGCUGCUGCGGUCACUGAAGCUUUAAUUGAAAAUUGCUGAAACAUGGACACCUAGUGGAGACACCCCACUCUGACAGUUCUCUUUCCAGUUGAAAUACAAUUUAAAAAUGGACUUUUACUGAUAGUCUUCCCCGAACCUGGAGGUUUGUCCUUGCUUCUCACUGCCCUGCACAGUGCUCAGCCACAUGAGGUGAAGGCGAGAGUCAGAAUUUGACAAAACAGAAGCUGUACAUCAUUUAACAACUCACCCAGGGGAUUGAUGAAGCAGAAAAACUAAUGACCUACAAAAGAACAAAUGUU